rnacentral:rRNA from 1 species
GAGUUUGAUCUGGCUCAGAUUGAACGCUGGCGGCAUGCCUUACACAUGCAAGUCGAACGGCAGCACGGGAGCUUGCUCCUGGUGGCGAGUGGCGAACGGGUGAGUAAUGCAUCGGAACGUAUCCUGGAGUGGGGGAUAACGUAGCGAAAGUUACGCUAAUACCGCAUAUUCUGUGAGCAGGAAAGCGGGGGACCUUCGGGCCUCGCGCUCUUGGAGCGGCCGAUGUCGGAUUAGCUAGUUGGUGAGGUAAAGGCUCACCAAGGCGACGAUCCGUAGCAGGUCUGAGAGGAUGAUCUGCCACACUGGAACUGAGACACGGUCCAGACUCCUACGGGAGGCAGCAGUGGGGAAUUUUGGACAAUGGGGGCAACCCUGAUCCAGCCAUGCCGCGUGAGUGAAGAAGGCCUCGG